AAAAUGACUCUCGGCAACGGAUAUCCCGGCUCUCGCAUCGAUGAAGAACGUAGCGAAAUGCGAUACUUGGNGUGAAUUGCAGAAUCCCGUGA
rnacentral:rRNA from 1 species